GUCGGGGUCCGGGGGCGGGCGUUGGCUGACCUGACGGCCAGCAGCUCGUGCAGCAGGUCCAAAUCAAAAACGAAAAGGAAAUCACCCACCUCAGUCUCUUAGCACUUUGGAUGAAGCCCGAGGUCAUUUACGAAAAACUCCCGCUACGAUCAAGUCAAUAGGUGGGGUGGAGUUGGUCCGGGCGAGGCUGCGGGACGGAUGGGCCGGCGCCCGUCUCCGUACCGCAGCCGUUAAGACGCCGAGCACCGUGUGUCAGCGACUGAGGUCGACGCCAGCACGUACAGCUUUGUGGAUGGCAUCGUGCCGCGCUGGAUGCUUAAGGCACAGCGUGGAUACUUGGGCUCGGCCGUUUCACGGCUCUCACAGACGACUGGGAUGUGAGCCCUUCCCUCACUUUCCAUGAUCUCACUUGCCGCGCGCCACUGAUCGUCCACGCCGACUCUAAUGCUUCGCUCUUACUCCUCUGCCUGCCUGGGAGGCUGACGUUAUGCCCAACCAUUGUCAAUGUACUAUCCUAAUUGCAUUGAUGUACUUGGUCUGUAUGGCAAAGAAGACCCUGCCGAUCACUUUUAAACUACCUAUUAUACAUAAAGUGCUGAGGAUGGUCCUAAAUGUAGUAUCACGGGACAUAGUGUAAAUUAUUUAUAUUGUCUGUCUUUCCUGCUCUAGACUGUGAGCUCAUUGUGGGCAGUAAUAAUAAUAAU